rnacentral:tRNA from 1 species
GCCGGGGUCGCCUAGCCUGGUUAGGGCGUCGGCUUGCUAAGCCGAUGGCCUUUGAGGCCGCGCGGGUUCGAAUCCCGCCCCCGGCG